GACGAACGCUGGCGGCGUGCUUAACACAUGCAAGUCGAACGAUGAAGCGGCCAGCUUGCUGGUGGUGGAUUAGUGGCGAACGGGUGAGUAACACGUGAGUAACCUGUCCUUCACUCUGGGAUAAGCCCUGGAAACGGGGUCUAAUACUAGAUAUUCUCAAUGUGCCGCAUGGUGUGUUGUGGAAAGAUUUUUUGGUGAGGGUUGGACUCGCGGCCUAUCAGCUUGUUGGUGGGGUAGUGGCCUACCAAGGCUUUGACGGGUAGCCGGCCUGAGAGGGUGACCGGCCACACUGGGACUGAGACACGGCCCAGACUCCUACGGGAGGCAGCAGUGGGGAAUAUUGCACAAUGGGCGCAAGCCUGAUGCAGCGACGCCGCGUGGGGGAUGAAGGCCUUCGGGUUGUAAAGCUCUUUCAGCUGGGAAGAUAAUGACGGUACCAGCAGAAGAAGCCCCGGCUAACUCCGUGCCAGCAGCCGCAG
rnacentral:rRNA from 1 species